AACGGUGACAGUCUCAGGGAGACAACGGAGAUAACAGUUGGCGCGGUGCGAGUGGAUUCGACGGAGUGUAUCGAACCGGAACGCGUCUCCGUAGCCUUUUACUUUCACGAAUAAAACCGACAACGAUUUUCUACGAAGGUCACGA
rnacentral:lncRNA from 2 species